UUUUUGUCAAAAGGAAAAGCAUGUGAUUUUGUUACUCUGUUAACUCUCAUUCGACAUGUAUACUUGUGUUUAUUUUAAGUAUUGUAAUCAAACUUGUUAACUGCGCUUGUGCUUGAACGAGUUGAGGACAUAACAGAACAAAUUCAAUAAUACCUUAACCAAGUACAGACUAUUGGUACCGGUGUACCGCAUGCUGAUUGGUUCUUUAUGAGCUGAUAUGGUUUUCAUAAUGUUGCAUGUUAUUGAUUUCAGUUCAAUAGAAGGAGCAUAUGGUGUUAUAAGAAUGCAAUAUUUACCUUGAUAAUCUCAAUGGUAAUAAGGAUAUAACUUCCGAGUUUGGGGUGCUGCAAAUGACUAAAGCUUAUAGUUUUCUACUUGUUCCUUAUCUCUAUGUCAUUUAUGAUGGACCAACCUUAUCAAUUUUUAGGAGUAAAGACCUCCUGACGAUCAUCAAAGAUCAACGGUCAAAACUUGGUUAGUUUUGUAUAUGUUAGAGUCAAUGUUAGUCAAAGAUAUGUUAGAGUUUUUUAACUUUGUUUAGCUGAGUUGUCUUCUAGUUAAUCUGUGUAUAUCUGAGUAUUUAGUCAGCUUUGUAACCAUUAUUCUCCUGUAAUGUAAAAAUCAAUUAUCUCACACGUUUUAACUAGUUGAGUUUAAUAUCAAUAACUCAAUCAUCUCCCACUGAGGGACUGCUACAUGGUUCUAAUGAAGCAUGUCAUCUGAAAGAGAUUGUUUUAACUAGGGAACCCGAAGCCACCUAUGCACAGGAGCGUGCUUGUAUUCAGAAGGUAAGGGUUGCAUAUAUGUGUUGUCACAUAGGAUGGUGGUAAUGCGAGUUCAAAUGGACGACUCCAGGAACGCCUAUAAGUUUGUAGGGCCUUUGGAGAUUGCCAAUUCAAAAAGGUCUUGGAUUUGUAACUUCAAUUACAUUCAUAUUUCUCGUUAGGGUGCAUCUGUCCUGGGCCUUGGAGAAAUGAUAUUUUGUUACCUGAUUAUGAAAUGUCCAGUGUUGGCUAUUAAGUAUGGUUACGCUGGUAAAAUGAGAACGUGCAUUUGACAAGAAAACGUCGGGCAAAUUAAGAUCUACAAUAUUGGACCAAGGCUUGUAGGUGUUGAUAGUGUUGGCAAUAAAUAUUAUGAGAAGCUUAACACUUAAUAUGCUUAGUGUUUUCUACAUUUCCCCCCUUCAAAUUCAGUACAAUUUCAAUGACGACGUUCUUCUUCAAAUUCUCUUGCACUUUUGAUGCUAAAACCAAAGAGGUGCGACAUUGUACACAAAGAAAAUUCCACUGUGUGAUGCGUAAAUUAACUUAACACACAAAUUAAAUCCUCUUUUGACAAUUGUAGUAUAUAAUUAAGUAGGGAUCGUUCUUAAA